rnacentral:lncRNA from 1 species
AUGGUGCUGUGGUUUGCCGUGCCGUGCUGUCAGCCAAAGAGAGGACAGCUGCCACCGAGAAAACCACUGAGACUCCUGAUCACCGACGACAGGGCACACUACCCCAGCACUGUAACCGAAUACAGCUGUACAGGGAUCCGAUGGGGAGAGGACUCCCUCACUCACACUGAGGCCGAUGUCAAACACAUGUUCAGCCAACAUGGGAAAGUGACUGUUACACAAAUGGACUUAAGUGGACACCACCACCGUUCAAAACAGUUCCCGGGAGCUUUGCUAAGAGCCGCUGCUCCCGCCAGAAUGUUUAACAUUGGUAUGUCCAGCGUCAAUGCAGUGAACCAGACCGUAAACUCCUUGAAACCACUGUUUACUUUCUUCCAGAAUGACUUUACCCAGACUCAGCUGUUUACAGCAGUAACAACAGACAUGCUGUGGGAGGUUAGCUCCUCCAAUGACAGCCUAACCAUGGGUAAAACCCCUCCAUACAUGAUACCCUUAAGCCUUGUGCUAACUGUGCUGGCUUACGCCAUCACCAUGCCAGUUGACCUGCUACAAAUACACCUGGCCAACUCUCUGGAUAGUGCCAUCCUACUGCACAUCAACCCUAAACAGAGAGAAGUGAAUGUGCUCCUGAACCAACCCAUCAGCGAGUCAAGCCAAGUCUACAGACCUAAAGACAUUGUCAGUGUCAGGAUGUGGAAAAGCAACACCCACACCAAGACACACAUUCCAGAUGUGGUGGUCUACCACGACAGCGACACACAGCUGUACCUGGCCCCAAACCUGCACAUGUGUACUUUGACCAAAGACAUUCAUUAUCUCUGCCUUAGCAAACCCUUCCUCAGACACAACUCUGAAGGAAUCUGCGGGUUGCAACCCCGGCUCAUCGAUACGCGCUGCCCUGCCGAAGCCAAGCCUCGUACACAAGUCACAGAAACGCAAGCAGAGAUUGUGGGUGACCGAUGGCUCGUCAACACUCCUGUGCGCACAGCUACACUGACCUACGACCAGCAAGACACUGCCACCCGUGUCAACCUGCUUGACCAAGUACUGGAAGGUACCACCCAAAACAUUGACAUUACUCCCGUCGACACAUCCCUCCAAGCACUGUCUCGACAGCCCGUUCUGAACCCGUCAUCUGCGGUCUGA